GCACCGGCUAACUACGUGCCAGCAGCCGCGGUAAUACGUAGGGUGCGAGCGUUAAUCGGAAUUACUGGGCGUAAAGCGUGCGCAGGCGGUUAUACAAGACAGGCGUGAAAUCCCCGGGCUUAACCUGGGAAUGGCGCCUGUGACUGUAUAGCUAGAGUGUGUCAGAGGGGGGUAGAAUUCCACGUGUAGCAGUGAAAUGCGUAGAUAUGUGGAGGAAUACCAAUGGCGAAGGCAGCCCCCUGGGAUAACACUGACGCUCAUGCACGAAAGCGUGGGGAGCAAACAGGAUUAGAUACCCUGGUAGUCCACGCCCUAAACGAUGCUGACUAGUUGUUCGGGAUUUACAUCCUGAGUAACGUAGCUAACGCGUG
rnacentral:rRNA from 1 species